rnacentral:rRNA from 1 species
UACGGAGGGUGCAAGCGUUAAUCGGAAUUACUGGGCGUAAAGCGCACGCAGGUGGCUGAGUCAGUCGAUUGUGAAAGCCCUGGGCUUAACCUGGGAAUUGCAGUCGAUACUACUCAGCUAGAGUAUGGGAGAGGGUAGUGGAAUUCCCGGUGUAGCGGUGAAAUGCGUAGAUAUCGGGAGGAACAUCAGUGGCGAAGGCGGCUACCUGGCCCAAUACUGACACUCAAGUGCGAAAGCGUGGGGAGCAAACAGG